rnacentral:rRNA from 1 species
AACUUUUACAAUGCUGGAAACAAGCGAUAAGGGGACCUCGAGUGCCCAGGUUACAAAUCUGGCUUGUCGUGAUGCCUAAAAAGCAUUGCAUAGCAAGGCCGGGCAAGACCGGUGCCAGCCGCCGCGGUAACACCGGCGGCUCGAGUGGUAACCGCUAUUAUUGGGUCUAAAGGGUCUGUAGCCGGCCGGAUAAGUCUUUUGGGAAAUCUGGCAGCUUAACUGUCAGGCUUUCAGAGGAUACUUGUCUGGCUUCGAGGCCGGGAGAGGUGAGAGGUACUUCAGGGGUAGGGGUGAAAUCUUGUAAUCCUUGAAGGACCACCAGUGGCGAAGGCGUCUCACCAGAACGGACCUGACGGCAAGGGACGAAAGCUAGGGGCACGAACCGGAUUAGAUACCCGGGUAG